rnacentral:rRNA from 1 species
UACAGAGGGUGCGAGCGUUGUCCGGAAUCACUGGGCGUAAAGGGCGCGUAGGCGGCCCGAUAAGUAGGGGGUGAAAUCUUGCGGCUCAACCGCAAGGCUGCCUCCUAGACUGUCGGGCUCGAGCACGGCAGAGGCUGGUGGAAUUCCCGGUGUAGCGGUGGAAUGCGUAGAGAUCGGGAAGAACAUCGGUGGCGAAGGCGGCCAGCUGGGCCGUUGCUGACGCUGAGGCGCGACAGCGUGGGGAGCAAACAGG